UCAAUCCAGCCGCCCAUUCCCAAUUGUCCAAGACGACGCGUUUGUUUGGAGGAAGAAAUUUCUCCAUAACAAACUUCUUCUUAUCACUGUAGAAAUCCUGUGUUUGAUGCACGGGAACUUCUGCGGUGUUUAGAAGUUGUGAGAUACUUUUUUCCCAUGUUUCUUCCAUUUUUAGUUAUAAAAAAAGGGAGAAAAAAGUUCCACCCCCAAGGCAGGAACUUUGUUUUAAGGAGAGUGGGAACUUUCUUCCCCGUUGUUUCCUAUCUCAACCCUAUUUCUUUAUCGCUUCUUCUCAACCCUAGCAUCGCAGCCUCCAAGCUCAGAAGCCCAUCACCUGCCUCCAAGCUCAGUCGUCUCUCUCACGCCUGCAUGCAAUAAGAGUGAGAGCCGAUAGCUCGUGUGUGGACAGAUGGAUGGUGGUAGCAGACUUUGAAGCGUAAGUUCUGUGUUGGGAUCUUUGAGUAUGGGUGUCUGGUGGCUGUGCCACAAUGUCUUUUGAUGAAUAUUAUAAUUUUGUUGUUGGGCCAAUAGAGCCUUGAACCUUUUGUGAAAGAUUUUUUGGAGCUUGAAUUUGUAUAAAUGGUUUUAUUUUUCUCAAUUUGUGGCCUUUUAUUUUAUGAGUUUAUUUAGUUUCAUAGUUUGCUUUGAUCUCGAAAUUUUAUCUGUGAUGCCACUCCCACUUGAGUGACGUACGGGACCUCCGGUCGCGUUCGUGCAGUCUGUCGCUCUCCAGUUUGGGACGGCAGGGGUUAGGGGGUGGGGUCGUGACAGUUAUGGUAUCAGCGCAGUCAGGACAAAGAUGCCAAGGACUCGUGUUAAUAAUGCGAGCUUCAGUAACGAUAAUGUAACGAUAAUGCAAAAGCCCUUGGAGAAAUCUUAUGGACCUUGGAGGCCAUGACUCAAAUGAUAAAAGAUAAUAUGCUAGCCCUGGUUACCCCUGCCCUGGAGCUUACUGAUAGUGGACUAAUAGAAGGUUCAGGAGGCUAGCGCCUCCGACGUUCCUAGGGCAUGGGAGAGUAGAAAAAGCAGAACGAUGGAUAAGGCAAGUAGAGAAGAUAUUUGAAGUAUUGCAUUGCAAUGAUGAGCAGAAGAUUUCAUGUUAGAGUGAGAUGCUGAGCACUGAUGGGGCUCAGUAAAACAAUCUUGAGAAAGAUCAGGGACAGAAGUGACCUAGGAGAAUUUCUUGGAAGCCUUCAAUGAGAAAUAUUUCCUUGAUUCAGUAUGGGAAAGAAAGGAAGUGGAGUUUAUUGAGCUACGACGAGGGGGACUUUCUGUCGAACAAUAUGCAGCCAAGUUCGCUGAAUUGUCAAGAUAUGCGCCGCACAUCAUUAACACUGAGGCAUAGAAGGUUAGUAAGUUCGAAAGAGGCCUCAGGCCAGAAAUAAGGAGGGGGGUAAUAUCAGCCAAUUUAAAGACCUUCUCCCAUUUAGUGGAUCUGGCCAUGAGAAUAAAAAGGGAGGACAAAGAGUCCCGGUUCAAGAAAGAGGGAAAGAUGAGACCAGGUCAAUUUAAAAAUUUUGGAGGAAGGACUCGACCACCUCCAAAGAGAAGCUUCAGGGGAAAUAAUAAUCGAGGGAGCAAGAUCCAGAAAAACUUCUCGAGUGACAUAAGAGAGAACCAGCACCCGAUAUAUCCACAUUGCGGAAAGGAUAACCACUUGGCGGUCGAGUGCCGAAGGAGGAUAAAAACAUGCUUCAGAUGUGGCAAACUUGGCCACAUGAUCAAGGACUUCCGGUGAAGGGACCAGAAGACCAACCAAAGACUCAAGGUCGGGUAUUUUCCCUUACGGAACGAGAAGCCAAGGCUUCCACCUCUGUGAUUUGAGAGUGAGCGUUGAUAGCUCGUGUGUGGACAGCUGGACGAUGGUAGCAAACUUUGAAGCGUGAGUUCUGUCUUGGGAUCUUUUGCGUAUGGGUGUCUGGUGGCUGUGCCACAAUGUCUUUUGAUGAAUAUUGUAAUUUUGUUGUUGGGCCAGUAGCACCUUGAACCUUUGUGAAAGAAUUUUUGGAGUCUGAAUCUAUAUAAAUGGUUUUAUUUU